GUUGUACGUUACCAAGUCAAUVAAGACCCGACAACUAGUUGACAUCGUUUAGGGCGUGGACUACCAGGGUAUCUAAUCCUGUUUGCUCCCCACGCUUUCGUGCAUGAGCGUCAGUAUUGGCCCAGGGGGCUGCCUUCGCCAUCGGUAUUCCUCCACAUCUCUACGCAUUUCACUGCUACACGUGGAAUUCUACCCCCCUCUGCCAUACUCUAGCCCGCCAGUCACAAAUGCAGUUCCCAGGUUAAGCCCGGGGAUUUCACAUCUGUCUUAGCGGACCGCCUGCGCACGCUUUACGCCCAGUAAUUCCGAUUAACGCUUGCACCCUACGUAUUACCGCGGCUGCUGGCACGUAGUUAGCCGGUGCUUAUUCUUCCGGUACCGUCAUCCCCCCRGGGUAUUAACCCAGAGGAUUUCUUUCCGGACAAAAGUGCUUUACAACCCKAAGGCCUUCUUCACACACGCGGCAUUGCUGGAUCAGGGUUGCCCCCAUUGUCCAAAAUUBCCCACUGCUGCCUCCCGUAGGAGUCUKGGCCGUGUCUCAGUCCCAGUGUGGCUGGUCGUUCUCUCAGACCAGCUACAGAUCGUCGGCUUKGUAGGGCUUUACCCCACCAACUAGSUAAUCUUGCAUCGCGCSGCCCCUGUAGCGAGAGGGUCUWAGGRUCCCCC
rnacentral:rRNA from 1 species